rnacentral:lncRNA from 1 species
CCGGCAAGAACGAGGACACUUCACAGGGCUGGGCUGCCGAGGAAAGAUGAGAGACUAAACUGAUGAGAAUCACCAACCAGUUUGAUGACUUGGAGAACAGUCACUUCCUCUUUCUGGGCUACAGUUUUCUCAUCAGUAACUGAAGAGCUUGCAGUACCUUCAACAUUCCUUCAGGAUUCAACUAGAAUCUCUGGGUCUGUGUGAAGACCAAGAGCUGGGAACAGAAGCAGGGCUCUAGAGGGAAAAGUUUCUUUCGGAUUCCUUUUUUUUGUUUUGUUUUAAAGAGCUGCUCUGUGAGAAGACAAGGAGAAAAUGGUCCCUACAGGAUACUCACCUCUGUCUCAGGGAGACACUCAAGCAUUUAUUCAACCAAGAAAGAGAAUUAGUUCCAGUACAGACAGCCAGCAUGCAGUGAGCACUCAGCGAUGGCCAAGUAUGGGAGAAGCCAUGCUGGAAUGAACAUGUGGGACCAUUUUGUGCAGUUUCUCAGAGGAAGAUAACAACCAUCUUCAAUGGCACAUGGCAGUUGCCAAAUUGCCAUGAAGCAAUAUCUAAAGCCACCUCAUGCUCAGGAGAAAACGCUCACCUUCCCCUCCUGGCUCCCCGUGCUCUACACGUUCAGAGAAACUUCUCUAGUAAUGAACUCAGGAACUGGUCACUGAGAGUAUAGUCUCUAUGGACAGCUUCGGAGCCAUGGAGUGAAGCCGAGCAAAUCCAUGGACCACUGCCCUGCCCCCGGUCUAUCUCGCUAGACUAGGGACAGGACUUGGGUGAUGCAGGAACAGAGAAUGGCCUGAGGAGGACACAGACCAGACCAGAGAGGAAGGAAGAUGAGAGGAGGAUGCGGGAAAGGGGCUUACAUCAAUCUCCAGAAGCAAGAGUUGGCAAAAGGCAGAAGGGAAAAGGCAUAGAUCCAAAAAGGCAAUGGGAGAGAGGGUUUAUUGGAUUUGUCCUCUUUGACCUCCAGGGAUUGUAGGGAGGAGAUAAAAUGGAAUAAAG